rnacentral:rRNA from 1 species
AACGAACGCUGGCGGCAUGCCUAACACAUGCAAGUCGAACGAGACCUUCGGGUCUAGUGGCGCACGGGUGCGUAACGCGUGGGAACCUGCCCUUAGGUUCGGAAUAACUCCCCGAAAGGGGUGCUAAUACCGGAUAAUGUCUUCGGACCAAAGAUUUAUCGCAUUUGGAUGGGCCCGCGUUGGAUUCGCUAGUUGGUAGGGUAAAAGCCUACCAAGGCGACGAUCCAUAGCUGGUCUGAGAGGAUGAUCAGCCACACUGGGACUGAGACACGGCCCAGACUCCUACGGGAGGCAGCAGUGGGGAAUAUUGGACAAUGGGCGAAAGCCUGAUCCAGCAAUGCCGCGUGAGUGAUGAAGGCCUUAGGGUUGUAAAGCUCUUUUACCCGGGAUGAUAAUGACAGUACCGGGAGAAUAAGCUCCGGCUAACUCCGUG